rnacentral:lncRNA from 12 species
CUUAACAGUUGUUGGGUACAGCCAAUUGAAGUAGUGGAAAUUUCUAUUCAACUUAUAAAUAGUUGAAGAGCCUGUCUUGGUGAAAUGCGAAACGAGCAAAUAUUCCAUUUUCUCCUGGGAGGGUGGAUCAGGAAUCGGCGUAUGAUGCUGUCACGUCAGCUGUGUCAAGGCUGUUGUUCAUGAGGACACACAGCUAUAAGUUAUUCAUGGGAACAUAACAAAUGAAGAUUUAGCCUUAGCAAAUAAUGAGCAUUCUUCUCCCGGAGCUUGCUCUUCAGCUAGUAAGCUGAGGCAUGUGGAGUCAUCCUGUCAGAAGUAGGAAUGGACCUCACAUUCUUUAGGGUUAGAGUACUUUGCAAAUACAAAAAAUGAUGCACCGAGCAAAUUCAAGGAAGCUCUGGGAACUUUAUGCUCUCCCUGGGGACAUGGUGGCAGGGCGGGGGGCGGGGGGGGUGGCAGUGGCGGUGGUGGUUCUUUUUUCUUUUCUAGGGAAAGCAGAGAAGAUACUCUCAGUGGUGAUCAUGUUUCUAUCCUGGUUGAAUAUCAGGACAACCCACCAAACCCUGAGGAAGCUACCCAGUUUUGUGAAUGAUGGGAUCUACUUCAGAUCUAGUUCCUUUUCCAUCCCUGGGUGGACAUUGCACUCAGCUCCCCAGCCUCUCUUCUACUCUGUGGAUGGUUCAAGUCAACAAAGGAUAUCCAUUCUAUGCUGAGUGCUGUGCUCAUCACUUUGGAGGAUACACAAAAGAGUGAGGCACCAAGACAACAGGUGAAGCAAGAAGAAAUGAUAUCAUACCCACCUACUCUUUCCUAAAUUGUGUAGUUUGGAGAGCAUCAGUGUUGUAAGGAGGUUGGAGAGAGAUCAGGAGAGAGAUGGAGAAAAUGUAAGCUAAAUUUUGAAGGCUAAGAAGAUUUAUAUAGGUGUAGAUGGGUGUCAGAGAUCAUGAUUCACAGGUUUCAUGACUUAGAAUUAAUUAGAUUCUCUUUCUAUUAUCUGAGCUGUAUUACAUUCUCUCAUUUAACCAGCAUUAUCUAAAAUAUAGAGAUAAUUGCAUUUAGCUUGAAAGAGAGAUUCAAAAGAAACAAGAGGGAUGCUCCCCUAUCUGAUCAAACUGAGCAACAGAACAUACAUCCAUUAAGCUACUAGAUAACGAAUACAAAGAAAAGGUCUUUGGUUUUAUCUCUGUUUUAACUCCAUGGUUAUGUGGACCAUAUGGCUCUAAACUUCCUAACAUUUCUCUACUCAUAAAUUAAAACGUUCUAUAUAGUAGGCCAAAUAGGUUUUGGACAAUCCAAAGACCUUUUACAGGGUUCACUUGGAGGCAGUGUUUGACAGGUAAGUUUGUCAAUUUUGCUUUCAUCUGACUUGUUGAAAACGAAACUUUAUAAAGCCAUAGACUGGUCCAGCUACAAUGUUCUACAGAUUAUGUUUUAAUUCAUGUAAAGACAGAUUUUUGUAAAGAUCUAUGAUCCUUUUAUUUUUGAUAUUAAACUUUAUUUUGUUCUUGUUGGUUAAUUAUUUCUAUCUGCAAAACACACAUUAGGCAUUUUAAAUGAAUGACUUUAUGGAGUUAUUUAUGCAAAACAUCUUAAUCCAGACUUGCCUA